UUCGGAAUAGGGUCGUCCGCGGUCAGAAGGAGUCUGGAAGGGAUUCGGAGAAUAGUUGAUCACUGUAGAAGAUCGGCUGAUAGUGAAGCCCAGAGAGCCUUUGGAUCAGCCUAGUAGAUGAAUGGGGAAGCUCAUUGUCGGAGAACUCUGGAUGGUUGAGGGAGUUCAGAAAGACGUCACACCAGGUCGGGAGCCGAAAAAGUCCUGGA
rnacentral:lncRNA from 1 species